CUGGAAGCGUCUCACGGCGCACCCAGAAACCCUAUGUGAACCUAUACCUCUCUGUUGCCUCGGCGCUGGCCGGGAGCUUUUUUAUGAGCUCCCCCUCCGCGAAAGGGCGGCGGUCCUCACGGGCCCCGCCCCCAGCGAGGAGAAGGCCCGCCGGUGGCCCUACAAACUCUUGUUUUUAUAACACGUCUCUUCUGAGUACAAAACAUAAAUGAAUCA
rnacentral:misc_RNA from 1 species